UGCUCUUAUCAUGUGAAGAGAUCAGCCAUUAAAACACACCAUACCACGACCUUGGGAUUGCAUGAGAGGCAAGCCUUUGAACCAGUAAAGACCAACAUUCCAAAGAGGAAGGACCAUCAAAAACAAAUGAUACCUGAAAAACAUAGAACGAUGGUUUAUGAAAUAUUUCAGGCAAAGGGCAAUUCCACAAUCGAUAUCCUUUAUUAGAAAUCUCUUGAACAAUAUUGCAAGGUUUGAUCUGAAGUUUAUGUGACAACACACACAUGUUUCACCACUGACACAUUCCAAACUACUCAAGGAUUUCUCACACAACAAACGUUGCGUCUCACACCAGAU
rnacentral:lncRNA from 1 species